CAAAAAAGACAGGUGAUCUCGGGCGGGAUCGAACCGCCGACCUUCUGUGUGUUAGACAGAUGUGAUAACCACUACACCACGAGACCGCU
rnacentral:tRNA from 1 species